UCCGAUGCACAGGUGUCUGUAUAAGUACUUAAGCUCAGAGAGAAAAAAGCACACUUAGUUCUGCUUCGUAUCUUUCACUACAGCGGUACCCUCUGUUCCAACACUAUCACUGAAAUGGCUGUCUCCUUCAAGGUUGUCAUCGUCGCCCUUGGCGUGGCAUACUUCUUCGCACUCUCCCAAGCCACCCCUUUACUGGAAGGUGUGCCCAUAGUCGGUGGUCUUUUGGGAGGCAAACUAUAAAUCUCUAGUUCAAUCUUUGCCACCUCUAUUCAGCUUCUAUGUAACCAAUAAAUAACUGUUUCAAGUAA